rnacentral:rRNA from 1 species
GACGAACGCUGGCGGCGUGCCUAAUACAUGCAAGUAGAACGCUGAAGGAGGAGCUUGCUUCUCUGGAUGAGUUGCGAACGGGUGAGUAACGCGUAGGUAACCUGCCUGGUAGUGGGGGAUAACUAUUGGAAACGAUAGCUAAUACCGCAUAAUAGCAGUUGUUGCAUGAUAACUGUUUGAAAGGUGCAAUUGCACCGCUACCAGAUGGACCUGCGUUGUAUUAGCUAGUUGGUGGGGUAACGGCUCACCAAGGCGACGAUACAUAGCCGACCUGAGAGGGUGAUCGGCCACACUGGGACUGAGACACGGCCCAGACUCCUACGGGAGGCAGCAGUAGGGAAUCUGCGGCAAGGGACGGAAGUCUGACCGAGAAACGCCGCGUGAGUGAAGAAGGGUUUCGGAUCGUAAAGCUCUGUUGUAAGAGAAGAACGAGUGUGAGAGUGGAAAGUUCACACUGUGACGGUAUCUUACCAGAAAGGGACGGCUAACUACGUG